rnacentral:rRNA from 1 species
UACGGAGGGUGCAAGCGUUAUCCGGAUUCACUGGGUUUAAAGCGUCCGCAGGUGGCAGUUCAAGUCUGCUGUCAAAGACCGGGGCUUAACUUCGGAAAGGCAGUGGAAACUGAACAGCUAGAGUAUGGUAGGGGCAGAGGGAAUUCCUGGUGUAGCGGUGAAAUGCGUAGAGAUCAGGAAGAACAUCGGUGGCGAAGGCGCUCUGCUGGACCAUAACUGACACUCAGGGACGAAAGCUAGGGGAGCGGAUGGG